rnacentral:rRNA from 1 species
ACCAUUUAAAGAGUGCGUAAUAGCUCACUGGUCGAGAGACUCUGCGCCGAAAAUGUCCGGGGCUAAAGUGUAAAACCGAAGUCGUGUCAUAUGCAGCAAUGUAUAUGGGUAGGGGAGCGUUCUCAUCGGGCUGAAGCAGUACCGUAAGGAGUUGUGGACUGAUGAGAAGUGAGAAUGUCGGUAUGAGUAGCGAAAAGAAUGGUGAGAAUCCAUUCCACCGAAAGCCUAAGGGUUCCUGAGCAACGAUCGUCGUCUCAGGGUAAGUCGGGACCUAAGCCGAGGCGGAAAAGCGUAGGCGAUGGACAACAGGUUGAAAUUCCUGUACCGGUGUGAAUCGUUUGAUCGAUGGAGUGACACAGUAAGGUAGGUCAGCACGCGAUUGGAAGUGCGUGUUUAAGCAUGUAGGUUGAGCUAUAGGCAAAUCCGUAGCUCUAAAAGCUGAGAUGUGAUGACGAGUUACUAGCGAUAGUAACGAAGUGAUUGAUCCUACACUGUCGAGAAAAGCUUCUAGGUAGAGACACAUCGCCCGUACCAAAACCGACACAGGUAGGCGGGGAGAGAAUCCUAAGGUGCGCGGGAAAACCCUCGUUAAGGAACUCGGCAAAAUGCCUCCGUAACUUCGGGAAAAGGAGGACUCAUGUAGUGUGAAGUGCAGCAACGCAUGGAGCAUGAAUGAGUGGCACAAGAGAGGCGCAAGCGACUGUUUACCACAAACACAGGUGCCUGCUAAAGCGAAAGCUGAUGUAUAGGUGCUGACACCUGCCCGGUGCUGGAAGGUUAAGAGGAGGGGUUAGACUUCGGUCGAAGCUCUGAAUUGAAGCCCCAGUAAACGGCGGCCGUAACUAUAACGGUCCUAAGGUAGCGAAAUUCCUUGUCGGGUAAGUUCCGACCCGCACGAAAGGCGUAAUGAUUUGGGCACUGUCUCAACGAGGGGCCCGGUGAAAUUGAAAUACCUGUGAAGAUGCAGGUUACCCGCGACUGGACAGAAAGACCCCAUGGAGCUUUACUGCAACCUAAGAUUGAACUUAGUUAAUGAAUGUACAGGAUAGGUGGGAGACGUAGAAUCUAGGACGCCAGUUUUAGAGGAGUCGUUGUUGGGAUACCACCCUUUCAUUAAUUGAUUUCUAACGGGCCGAGUAACGACCGGCCGGACAGUCUUAGGCGGGCAGUUUGACUGGGGCGGUCGCCUCCUAAAGAGUAACGGAGGCGCCCAAAGGUUCCCUCAGAGCGGACGGAAAUCGCUCGAAGAGUGUAAAGGCAGAAGGGAGCUUGACUGCGAGACGGACAGGUCGAGCAGGGACGAAAGUCGGGCUUAGUGAUCCGGUGGUGCCGAGUGGAAGGGCCAUCGCUCAACGGAUAAAAGCUACCCUGGGGAUAACAGGCUAAUCUCUCCCAAGAGUCCAUAUCGACGGGGAGGUUUGGCACCUCGAUGUCGGCUCAUCACAUCCUGGGGCUGAAGUAGGUCCCAAGGGUUCGGCUGUUCGCCGAUUAAAGUGGUACGUGAGCUGGGUUCAGAACGUCGUGAGACAGUUCGGUCCCUAUCCAUCGCGGGCGCAAGAAACUUGAAGGGGGCUGCUCCUAGUACGAGAGGACCGGAGUGGACGAACCGCUGGUGUACCAAUUAUCCUGCCAAGGGUACAGUUGGGUAGCUACGUUCGGGACGGAUAAACGCUGAAAGCAUCUAAGCGUGAAACCAGCCUUGAGAUGAGGUUUCU